rnacentral:rRNA from 1 species
AUGUGGACUGAUGACCUCAAAGUUUCUGUUCAUAGUGCUAACUUCCACUAUAUAUUAGCUAAUGUAGUUCAUCUAGCUUCUGGGGUCCAAUUUUGUUUGAUUUGUAUAUAUGGCGACCCGUACCGUAGGCAGACUACAGCCAUUUGGAGUUAGAUUUCCAAUUUUGUUUAUGACAAUUUAGGUGCACCCAUGGUGUGUAUGGGUGACCUUAAUGACAUUUUGUACGAUACGGAUGGAUGUAAUGGCAAUGUGAAUUACUUUCGUAUGAAUGCUUUU